AUUGAACGCUGGCGGCAGGCCUAACACAUGCAAGUCGAGCGGAUGAAGGGAGCUUUCUCCUGGAUUCAGCGUCGGACGGGUGAGUAAUGCCUAGGAAUCUGCCUGGUAGUGGGGGAUAACGUCCGGAAACGGGCGCUAAUACCGCAUACGUCCUGAGGGAGAAAGUGGGGGAUCUUCUGACCUCACGCUAUCAGAUGAGCCUAGGUCGGAUUAGCUAGUUGGUGGGGUAAAGGCCUACCAAGGCGACGAUCCGUAACUGGUCUGAGAGGAUGAUCAGUCACACUGGAACUGAGAAACGGUCCAAACUCCUACGGGAGGCAGCAGUGGGGAAUAUUGGACAAUGGGCGAAAGCCUGAUCCAGCCAUGCCGCGUGUGUGAAGAAGGUCUUCGGAUUGUAAAGAACUUUAAGUUGGGAGAAAGGGCAGUAAGUUAAUACCUUGCUGUUUUGACGUUACCAACAGAAUAAGCACCGGCUAACUUCGU
rnacentral:rRNA from 1 species